rnacentral:rRNA from 1 species
GAAUUCGCCCUUAGAGUUUGAUCCUGGCUCAGGAUGAACGCUGGCGGCGUGCCUAACACAUGCAAGUCGAACGGAGUCGUUUUGGAAAAUCCUUCGGGAUUGGAAUUCUCGACUUAGUGGCGGACGGGUGAGUAACGCGUGAGCAAUCUGCCUUUAAGAGGGGGAUAACAGUCGGAAACGGCUGCUAAUACCGCAUAAGCCCACGGCUCGGCAUCGAGCAGAGGGAAAAGGAGCAAUCCGCUUUGAGAUGGCCUCGCGUCCGAUUAGCUAGUUGGUGAGGUAAUGGCCCACCAAGGCGACGAUCGGUAGCCGGACUGAGAGGUUGAACGGCCACAUUGGGACUGAGACACGGCCCAGACUCCUACGGGAGGCAGCAGUGGGGAAUAUUGCACAAUGGGGGAAACCCUGAUGCAGCGACGCCGCGUGGAGGAAGAAGGUCUUCGGAUUGUAAACUCCUGUUGUUGAGGAAGAUAAUGACGGUACUCAACAAGGAAGUGACGGCUAACUACGUGCCAGCAGCCGCGGUAAAACGUAGGUCACAAGCGUUGUCCGGAAUUACUGGGUGUAAAGGGAGCGCAGGCGGGAGAACAAGUUGGAAGUGAAAUCCAUGGGCUCAACCCAUGAACUGCUUUCAAAACUGUUUUUCUUGAGUAGUGCAGAGGUAGGCGGAAUUCCCGGUGUAGCGGUGGAAUGCGUAGAUAUCGGGAGGAACACCAGUGGCGAAGGCGGCCUACUGGGCACCAACUGACGCUGAGGCUCGAAAGUGUGGGUAGCAAACAGGAUUAGAUACCCUGGUAGUCCACACCGUAAACGAUGAUUACUAGGUGUUGGAGGAUUGACCCCUUCAGUGCCGCAGUUAACACAAUAAGUAAUCCACCUGGGGAGUACGACCGCAAGGUUGAAACUCAAAGGAAUUGACGGGGGCCCGCACAAGCAGUGGAGUAUGUGGUUUAAUUCGACGCAACGCGAAGAACCUUACCAAGUCUUGACAUCCCUUGACGAUGCCGGAAACAGUAUUUCUCUUCGGAGCAAGGAGACAGGUGGUGCAUGGUUGUCGUCAGCUCGUGUCGUGAGAUGUUGGGUUAAGUCCCGCAACGAGCGCAACCCUUAUGGUCAGUUACUACGCAAGAGGACUCUGGCCAGACUGCCGUUGACAAAACGGAGGAAGGUGGGGAUGACGUCAAAUCAUCAUGCCCUUUAUGACUUGGGCUACACACGUACUACAAUGGCGUUAAACAAAGAGAAGCAAGACCGCGAGGUGGAGCAAAACUCAGAAACAACGUCCCAGUUCGGACUGCAGGCUGCAACUCGCCUGCACGAAGUCGGAAUUGCUAGUAAUCGUGGAUCAGCAUGCCACGGUGAAUACGUUCCCGGGCCUUGCACACACCGCCCGUCA